rnacentral:rRNA from 1 species
AUGCAACAAGAGUGCAACAAGUUUUGCGCCACCCUUGAGAGCGUCAAGGCCCGCCCCGUAAGCGGCAUCGGCGUGCAAGACAUGGCAUUUCAAGCUUUCGAGGCAUUCAAGGUUCAACACAAUGGCAAGUGCUUCAACCUCUCCCAUUGCUAUCGGGUCAUCAAGGACGAAGAGAAGUUCAAGGCACAAUAUGCCGCACUCAAGGCACAUGGGGGGAAGGGCGCCGUGGAGGAUCUUGGGGAGGGCGAGCCGGCACGGCCAUGGGGGAAGACCAACUCCAAGAAGGAGGACAAGCGAGAUGCGGCCACCAACGCCUUGAUCGCAAGCGUGGACGGCAUGAUGAAUAAGAAGGAAUCAAGGGAGGAGGAGCGCCUGUUGGAAAUAUGCCCUAGAGGCAAUAAUAAAUAG